rnacentral:misc_RNA from 1 species
CAAAGCAGAAUUUUUAACAUGUUAAAAGCCUAUACAAAUAAAAUUCGACUUCUGAUGCUCCAAGAAAAUGUCGAGAGUCGCCUUCAAAACUGAAGUAAUCCAGUCGAAAGACACACAUAUGAAUUGACGCUAAUUACCGUCCUAUACCAAGGUAGGAGUAAGGUCUACGUACACUUUUACCCUCCUCGGACCCUACGGGGUUACUCUGGAUACGUUGUUGUUGUUGACACUAACAACUAUCCUGUUAAGCUUGGUUAAGACUGAAAAACUCUAAUGAUUUAACCUGUGAACUUCCAUG